rnacentral:lncRNA from 1 species
AGAAAGGAAGAAUAGCAAACCAUAAUUAAAAAGAAAGACCCGAGAACAGAUCUGCAGAGGAAGAAAAAGAUUAAAAUCAACUGCCAUGUGUUGUGUUUUUGUGUUUUUGCUUCUUGUGCAGGUGACUGGGAGAUGCACCGCUAGUAUGGACGGGAAGAGAAGAAGGAGAUGAUCCAGAUCCGCCCAUUGCUGGCAUGUUCAGCG